rnacentral:lncRNA from 1 species
CCUCCUGCUGCUCUGGGGCUCGGCUGUUCUGCCAGUAAAGCCCUCCGAGUGGCCGUGUGCAGUGUCCUCGAGGCUGCAGGUCGCCUCCCUGUGUGCCCUGGAGCCGGGCCCGCCCUCCUCUGGUCUGGGCUGCUCUGAAGCGCACACGGGACAGCUCAGAGGCUGAACAGAAAGAGGCAGCUGAGCUAAGAGGGCUUUCAACUUUCCUGCCCUCCCUGGGCUUCCCGACUGACCGAAGGGCCUUGGACGUGUCAGUCGCCCGUGCGGCAGAGCUUGCAGCCUGUCCUUCGGAGCUGUCUCCCUGCCUUCCCUGUCCUCCCCUUCCGUCUCCAGCCUCUCCACAUGGUUUACUGAGCUGCUGGGUUCUGCUAUGGUUUACAGUGUUUCCACCUUUGGUGUUGUUCUGAAAGCAGCAACAGGUGAAAGUUUUGCGGCAAAAACACAGUGUUAUUUCCUCUGACAGUGAGGGGGAAUUUGUGAACCACUUGUGUCCCUCAAAUCUUCCGUGUCCUAAGGCAUCCCAGAGCCCAGGAGUUUGAGGAAUUUCAGGAAAAUGGAAGCUUGGAAGUGUGGAGGCCAGUGGCUCACUCAGAGUGCGUCCUGCCUCCUGCUCUCAGGCCACAGGAAUUUCACAGCCAGCACAUGGGUGGCAGCCGGUGCCGCACGACGGCAAGCAAAAGGAACACAGCAAGGAAUUGCGCCUCGUUUUCUGGAAUCCAGGCUGGACAGCAGCCAUCUCUCCCCUGAGUCCCCCUGAGGAGUCGUGGAGAGCAGCUCCAAGCAGGUUUCCGGUGGUGCGUCUCAAACCCAUGGACAGGAAGCUGAGGUCAUCAGUUGCUUUCUCAUUGCUGUCCGGGGCCACCUACCGCCUCUGCCUCCCGACUGGAUGGAGUUGCCUUUCCUGUAGCCAUCGCCGGUAGACUCCAGAGCCCUGUGGUGUUGGCACUGCCUCCUAUCUAGGGAGCAUCCCAGACCCAGCCUGGGGCUCUGACUCAGCUCUGACUCAGGCCCAGGCCUCAUGACUCCAGACUCCUUCUGCUGCUUCCUGCAUGGCUGGUCUGGAUGCACGUUCAGUGUGUGUGGAAAAUGCGGUGAUGGCCACUUGAACACACCGAGGUCAGCAGCCUGCAGGGCCCCCUGGGGACCCUACAGUCCGGUACUGGGCUUUGGUCCUAACUCUCCUCAGCCACCGGAGGGCACCCCGAAGAUCCACUUAGGAAUCGGCUUUUGCCAUUCACCACUGAGCAUCUCAAGGAAGAGAAUUUGAGGGUCAGGUUCUUCAGUACUUCUCCUUUCUGGGCAGCUGCAGACAGCAAUGGAGAACAAAAGUAGAAUCCAGUCUUGGUGCGUAUAAAAGCUUCUUUUCAGGUGUCUCAGAGGAGCAUCUCCUUAGUAGGAGAGAGAACGCUGACCUAAGGAGCUGGCGUGGUGCUUUGGCUGCAACAGUGCACCGUGACUGAGGGAAGCCCAUCAAACCCUAAGGAGAUUUGGCUCACCUUUUGCAUUUCAACUGACCAAAUCAGUCCUUUGAGGGAGAGGGGAUGGAAACGGGUUUUUGAAUUACAUUAGCUACCUCUAGCAUUUGCUCCUCAGAAUUACCUGGUGACAGCGCAGUGCCACAGCGUGCAUCAGGAUGUCCAGAGAGGCCUGGCACCCAGCGUGCCACUGCUCAGGGUGGCAGAGCCUUUAGGAGUCACAGGGCAGGAGCCCUCAGAGGGCUGUGGGUCCGGUCCUCCCUCUCACUGGGCCUCCUGGCCCCAGCACCCUGACUGCUUGGCUGGGAGACACUGGUUUGUGCCCCUGUGAUGUGUACAUCACAUGACCAAAUGCACCAGAGCUGGGCCACACAUGGGAUUUGUGAACAGAUCAGAUGGCAUUGGAAGCUCCCAGAAACAGCAAACCUCCAAGUACUUUGCAAAGGGCUCACGCUAUGCAAUCAGUCCGAGGCUGGUGGAACAGCGCAGCGCUGCAGUCCUGUGCUGAAUGUGCUAAGUGGUCAGCAGGCCAUGCAGGGCGCCCGAGGCUUCCCCCACCUGCAGCUCUGCUCCACCGGGCCCUGCCACCGUGAAGACUGCGCUGGAGCCAGUGGGCUGUGGACGGGACCCUCUGAAACUGGUCUGCUAAGUUGCCCAGGUUGCGCUCGAACUUGGCGUUGUCCUGCCUCAGCCUCCCUGACUGCCUGGAGUACCGGUGCAUGCCGCCACAGCUGGCUCCAAAUAGAAAAGGACAUGGAAGUACAGAAGUUGUGAUCUGCCUUAUAGACGACAGGAAACAUCCAGAUGCAAAAUCUGCCCAGCUUCUCUCUCUGCCCUGGCUCAGCUACUCCCGGGCUCCUGCAGUCUCUACAGGAAGCCAGAGUCCUCACCGUUGGCGCCUGCAGCACCUGGAGUUUUGCCCCACGCCUGCCCCUCCAGGCUCCGAGCAG